CACACACAUGCUUGUAUGUACUAGAAUUACAGACCCUGUGCUUAUGGGACUGCAAGGGCUGCUACUGACUUGUUCAUCCCAUCUCCCCUAAGACCAGCUCUCUGGAAAGAGGGUAAGGGGAGGCGUUUCUUCAUAUCUGAGAAGCAGCUGGAAAUCUUCUAUAGGACUAAGUGGACUGAGACCAGGCCGGGAGCCAGGAAACCCUGAAUUCUGAUUCCACCCCUUCAUGCACCACCACUGUCCCUAUAUCCAUGAUGUUUCAAAUCCAAAUUGUUUACCUUAAAUUCCAAUCUACAUCAGGAUGUUCUUUCUAGAACGCUAUGCAAACUUCUCUAUACUUUUUGUUCUCCCGUGAGGUGUCUUGAAGGUCUCCACACAUCAUCCUACAUGAAGAAGUGACCUUGGGUAGAAAAACUGUUAAAUCUUGGUUACAGUGAUAUUGUGGACAUCACAAAGCCACCACAAAUUGAUAUCAGUGGCAGUCACUUCUUAAAAGAGAUCCAGGGCUGGAACAGCAAGGGGUCUGUGAGUCGUCAA